rnacentral:misc_RNA from 1 species
AACUAACGCUAUUAUUGAUACAGUUUCUGUACUAUAUUGUUUCCCCUCGUUUUUUUUUUUUGUUUUGUGGCCGUGCUCGCUCUCAUGC